AGAGUACUACGUGCCCUCAGAUGUCAUAACUCCUCACUGGGUUUGCAGCAGAUAGAUGAGAGCUGGUGUAAGACUACAAUGAUGAAGAAACUGAAGCAGAGAAAUAAGGAAUUUGUCCAAAUCUCACAGCAAUGUUAGCACAGUUCAGAGGACCAAGAAGCUGAGGGAUAGUGCAAUGUGAGGCAGUACCCUUAAUG